CCUACGGGUGGCAGCAGUGGGGAAUAUUGGGCAAUGGGCGCAAGCCUGACCCAGCAACGCCGCGUGAAGGAAGAAUGCUUUCGGGUUGUAAACUUCUUUUGUCAGGGGAGCGUAGACGACGGUACCUGACGAAUAAGCCACGGCCAACUACGUGCCAGCAGCAGCGGUAAUACGUGGGUGGCGAGCGUUCUCCGGAUUUACUGGGUGUAAAGGGCGUGUAGCCGGGAUGACAAGUCAGAUGUGAAAUCCUGGGGCUUAACCGCAGAACUGCAGUUGAAACUGGUGAUCUUGAGUACUGGAGAGGCAGAUGGAAUUCCUAGUGUAGCGGUGAAAUGCGUAGAUAUUAGGCGGAACACCGGUGGCGAAGGCGGUCUGCUGGUCAGCAACUGACGGUGAGGCGCGAAAGCGUGGGGAGCAAACAGGAUUAGAUACCCGAGUAGUC
rnacentral:rRNA from 1 species